GAUGAACGCUGGCGGCGUGCCUAACACAUGCAAGUCGAACGGCAGCGCGGGUGCUUGCACCUGGUGGCGAGUGGCGAACGGGUGAGUAAUGCAUCGGAACGUACCCUGGAGUGGGGGAUAACUAUCCGAAAGGAUAGCUAAUACCGCAUAUUCUAUGAGUAGGAAAGCGGGGGAUCUUCGGACCGCGCGCUCUGGGAGCGGCCGAUUGCAGAUUAGCUAGUUGGUGGGGUAAAGGCCUACUAAGGCUACGAUCUGUAGGGGGUGUGAGAGAAUGAUCCGCUACACGGGGACUGAGCCACGGCCCAGACUCCUACGGGAGGCAGCAGUGGGGAAUUUUGGCCAAUGGGGGCAACCCUGAUCCAGCCAUGCCGCGUGAGUGAAGAAGGCCUUCGGAUUGAAAAGCUCUUUCGGCGGGGAAGAAAUCGCCAUCUCUAAUAUAGGUGGUGGAUGACGGUACCGGAAUAAGAAGCACCGGCUAACUACGUGCCAGCCGCCGCCGUAA
rnacentral:rRNA from 1 species